CGAGGCCGAGCCGCUGAACUGCUGCCAGGUUCGCUCCGGGUCCACGCCGCCCGCCCCGCGUCCUCCUCCGCCGCCGCCGCUGCCAUGGGAGUGCAGGUGGAGACCAUCUCCCCUGAAGACGGGCGCACCUUCCCGAAGCGCGGCCAGACCUGCGUGGUGCACUACACCGGGAUGCUUGAAGAUGGAAAGAAAUUUGAUUCCUCCCGGGACAGAAACAAGCCUUUUAAGUUUAUGCUAGGCAAACAAGAGGUGAUCCGAGGCUGGGAAGAAGGGGUGGCCCAGAUGAGUGUGGGUCAGAGAGCUAAGCUGACGAUCUCUCCAGACUAUGCCUAUGGAGCCACUGGGCACCCUGGCAUCAUCCCACCACAUGCCACUCUCGUGUUUGAUGUGGAGCUUCUAAAACUGGAAUGACAGAAGUGGCCUCUUUCUUUAGUUCUCUGCACAUGGAUCUGCCAUGGAGGGAUCUGGGGCCUCCGAGACGUGUGCACAUGAAUCCAUGAGGAGCUUUUCCUGAUGUCCCACUCCACUCUUUGUAUAGACAUCUA